rnacentral:lncRNA from 1 species
UUUCAAUGAUAGAUAUUUAAUCCAUUUAUCUAUACUAAAUACUUGAGAUAUUUUGAAAUUUUUUUUUCAACAGAAACACAAUUGAAUUUCAAAAUAACUAGCUAUAUAUAGUGUAAAGAUACCAUCUACGGUGUGUGUUAAAACAAAAACAAAAUAUUUAUGCUUAGAGGAAUAGUAUCAGUUCGAAGAUCGUUGGAUACAAACAUUGUAAGUUGAUUCUUUUUUUUUUAUUUGAAAAGUUUAAAAUUUAAAACAUUUUUAACAUUUUACUACGUUCCACAAUUUGUAUUUUAGUUGUUUUUAAUAGUUUGUAUAGUUGUAUAGAAUGAUAUAGUGGCUCAUACGCCUGUUUAGGCUUGAUAUCUGUCAUAUUUUAUUAUUGUGCAAUGAAAUUGUAUAUCAUAUAAACUUAGUAGACGAAUAUCACAUUUUAAGUGCCCUGCCCCCCCCCCAAAAAAAAGAGGCACAUUAUACUGGAUAACCAUAUACAUAUAUAAUCAAUCACAUGUUGAAGGGUUUUAAACAGGGAAUAUUGAUCUUUGAUGAAUUAUGGAAAUAUUUUGUCACAAAGUUUUAUACUGAAAUUGUAUCUAUAUAUGUGACGUUACUACAAAAAUAUAAGCUAGUGCUUUGGAAGCGUACAUACAAAACAUAAAAGUGAAAAGCAAGCGCGACCUGUAUCAGUCUAACAACUGUAAAAUCUAUGCAGCUCAGAUCAGAAAUGCAUAUUCUUAUGUUAUAUAACAGUUUCUAUGAACAAAUGUUUUCAAGCUUUAGAAUUGUCUCUGUCUAAAUCUAACAAAAUGUGUUCAAAGUUUAAGUAAAGAAAGCGCUUUUUCAUAUACCCGAUAUUUGACACAAAAAUCAACUGUUUCUUUCAUCUGGCGAGGAAAAGUACUUUUACAGUAUGUGUUUUUGUUUUCUUGUCCAUUCUUUCUGUAUUUACAUUAACGGUUGAUACUUAAUGAUCUCUUUAAAAUUAUUUGACUACCGGAAAAUACAAAUAUUAGCACAAACUAAAAUAUAUGACAUCUUUAUUAUAUAUUCUAAACAGGACACAUUUAGUUUUGGAAUAUUUGUUCGAUUAAUAAAUAACGAAUUUAUUACUUUUAUGAUUUAAUACCUAGUGCCCUUGUCUGCAGUUUAUAAUAUCCAUAAUAAUAAUAUUAAUAAAAAAAAACUAAUCAAUUGUAAUAACAAUAAAUUGUUUGCAAUAGAACGAAUAUAGAUGUGUAGUCAAAUUGAAUAUUUUGUAGAACAUGUAUACAUGUACCAUCGUAAUCGAGCAAAACGAAAUUGGUGGUGAUAAUCUUUAACCAGGCUCCUGGUGUAUAAAAAAGGGGGAAGCGUGAAAUUUAAUCUUGUUAAAAAUCGUACUGAAACAUACACCAGUAUAAUACUUUUCAUCCUUUAUGAUAUAAAAGUAAACACUAAACGCCCAAGGAAGUGCGUAUCAAUUGAUUUAAACUUUUAUGGAUUCUAUCAAAACUAAAAUCUGACAUAUCCUUUUAAGAACAACAAAUUGAUUUGUUAGAAUUGCCAUUUUUCGGAGUUUAAUCAGAUGUCAUGGAAAUGUGAAUGAGAAUAGAAAUAUAUAUCUUCUUACAUGCUGUCUUGUUUCAAUGCUUGUCAAAAGUAAUGUCAAGUAUAACAUAACACGAUAGUCGUUCAUUUUGUCCCGAAAGUAAAUUUGAAAAAAUAAUAUUUUUAAAAUCACAUUAAAUUCGUUCGUUAACUUGUGUCAACAUAACAUACAUUUGUACAUGAAAUCCGGUGACCAAUGUAUUUAUUCAUACUGUAAUCAGAUAUGUAAAUAUUUUAUUUCAUAUUUUGAGAUACUUAAUAUAUCAGAUAGAUGUCAAUUUGGGAUUUAAAUACUUGAAAAAAAAACAUAAGAAAAAUAAGGAAAUAAAGAUAGAGAAAAAAAAAACAAUCCAAGUAGACUGACAAACAAACAUUUUGUAAACAUAUGUUUCAAAACGUUUUAAGCAAAAUUCAUUUGAUAAAAUACAAUAUUCAGAACUCUAGAAAUAAACAAAUUAAAAUUUUAUCAGACGAAUGUAAGAAAUUGAACAUAACGAAACGCAUGUGUUUAACACGACGUAUGUUUUCUCUACGUUUUCUUAUUUGGAUGAUUCUAUACAUUGUUUCUGCUAGUGUGAUAUAUAUAAAAAUAUGUGUUUGUUUGCCAUUAUACUUUUUUGUUAAUCUAUAAAUCUUUGUGGAAUGUCCUUGGCAGAAACAACCAACUAUGUCCUUUUAUAAACCACAAGAAACAACUACUAAGUUCCUCCUCUCACUUACAAAAAGACGGGAAAAAAUAAUAAUAAUAAAAUCAACACAUACACGUAAAUCUAAACAACAAAUAUUCAGAAACAAACGAACAAACACCAAACAAAUAAUCAGAUACAAAACAAACAAAUGCGACAACAAAAUACCGCAAAAACUGAACAUACCAAAGAAACAAAACAACGUAAAACUUCCUGGUGGAAAGAGUAUACAAUAUGUAUGGUUAACAAGAUCUUCGGGAAGUGAAAUAGGACCAUAUUGUCUAUAAGAGUUAUCUGAUCAUGAAUACACUUUGACCUUAAUUGAUCAAUACAAACAAAGGCAAAAUUAUGCUUUCAUAGAUCUGCAGAAUACUACAAGGUUUAGAUAAUUAAAACGAUAAAUAAUAAAUUAUUAGAAUCUUUUUAAUUGAAUUGUAUGCGUUUCGUGGGUUAAAAUACGACAUAUGGCAUUUACAAAAUAGCUAAAUCCUUUAUUUUUGUGAUACAAAAAAAAAAAAACUACGCAAUAUGGGACAAAUUGUAAAUCGUAUAAAAUCUGAAACAGGAAGUUGUCACAAAUCGAUUUAACUAAUCAACAAAGAUGAUUAAAAUCUAUGGAAAAUAUAUGUCGUCCAUGAGUUCUUACACUUUUAUAUUCUAUCAAAUACCAAUAAAGGUAUCUUUACGAUUAGAUGUCACGAAACUGACUUUUUGAUUCAAAGUACUAGUCAGUCCAUGUAUAUAUUUUUGUUUUUUCAUAAAACCAUUAAGCGAGGUUAUGUCAAGUGCCGUAUGUCAUGAUUUAAAUGAGACCUCGUGUGUAUACCCUGUAUCAAAAUUCGAAUCAAUUUUCAAAUAUCUGGACCUCUUGUUUUUGAGACAUAAUCAUCAUCACACACGGUUGAAGUAAUGCUUUUUUUUAAUUAUUAAAGUCAAGCACUGGAUGACACGAUAUUAUUGAGACCUCGUGUGAAAACCUUGUGUUUGAAAAUUAAAAUUAAUUUUCAAAUGUCUGCGCUUUCUUUUUUUUUAUAGAAAACCAUCACACGUGGUUUAGGUAAUACAAUUUUUUUCGUUUGUAUUUAUUAGAAAUUCUGUGAAUGAUAAUGAAAUCGAGAUCGAUUGCCUAAUGUAACUGUAUCUUUUGUUAUACACCUGUAAUUGGUAUUGAACAAUUAAUUUUCCACAGGAAUCAAUGAUUCCAAAGUUGGCAAAUAUUCUAUUGAUUAGCCAUUUUUAUUUGUUCGUCUAUCUGGAACUAGACCAGAGUUAAAACUCGAUAUUUUCUAAAGUUAUACAAUUCAGGAAGACCAAUGUAAAGUGCGAAGAAGAAGCAUCAGCCAUGUAAGAUUACAUUAAAUUUGUUGGAUGCAAUUGCAGCAAGGCUAUAUUUACGAUAAAGUCGGUUUCACGCUUUAUUGCCGACCAGACAAGACAUAUUAAUUGACGUGCGAAAAAUAAUAGUGAACGUUUAAAUUAAUGUCUAAUAAUUUGUAAAUGUGAAUAUAAUUUUACACUAUUGUGCAAUUAAGUAAUUGUAUUUCACAUGUUUUUUUUCAGAAAUAAUAAAACGGAUUAAGCCUAGACGAAGACGAUGGGUUGUUUACUUACAGUCGGACGAAUAUUUUGUGUUGUCGUCAAUCUAUUGUUUUUGGUAA